rnacentral:rRNA from 1 species
AUUGAACGCUGGCGGCAUGCCUUACACAUGCAAGUCGAACGGUAACGCGGGGCAACCUGGCGACGAGUGGCGAACGGGUGAGUAAUGCAUCGGAACGUGCCCAGUAGUGGGGGAUAGCCCGGCGAAAGCCGGAUUAAUACCGCAUACGACCUACGGGUGAAAGGGGGGGAUCGCAAGACCUCCCGCUAUUGGAGCGGCCGAUGUCAGAUUAGCUAGUUGGUGGGGUAAAAGCCUACCAAGGCGACGAUCUGUAGCUGGUCUGAGAGGACGACCAGCCACACUGGGACUGAGACACGGCCCAGACUCCUACGGGAGGCAGCAGUGGGGAAUUUUGGACAAUGGGCGAAAGCCUGAUCCAGCCAUGCCGCGUGCGGGAAGGAGGCCUUCGGGUUGUAAACCGCUUUUGUCAGGGAAGAAAUCUUCUGAGUUAAUACCUCGGGAGGAUGACGGUACCUGAAGAAUAAGCACCGGCUAACUACGUGCCAGCCGCCGCCGUAA